GAGCGGCGGACGGGUGAGUAAUGCCUAGGAAAUUGCCCUGAUGUGGGGGAUAACCAUUGGAAACGAUGGCUAAUACCGCAUAAUGCCUACGGGCCAAAGAGGGGGACCUUCGGGCCUCUCGCGUCAGGAUAUGCCUAGGUGGGAUUAGCUAGUUGGUGAGGUAAUGGCUCACCAAGGCGACGAUCCCUAGCUGGUCUGAGAGGAUGAUCAGCCACACUGGAACUGAGACACGGUCCAGACUCCUACGGGAGGCAGCAGUGGGGAAUAUUGCACAAUGGGCGCAAGCCUGAUGCAGCCAUGCCGCGUGUGUGAAGAAGGCCUUCGGGUUGUAAAGCACUUUCAGUCGUGAGGAAGGUGGUGUAGUUAAUAGCUGAAUUAAUUGACGUUAGCGACAGAAGAAGCACCGGCUAACUCCGUGCCAGCAGCCGCGGUAAUACGGAGGGUGCGAGCGUUAAUCGGAAUUACUGGGCGUAAAGCGCAUGCAGGUGGUUUGUUAAGUCAGAUGUGAAAGCCCGGGGCUCAACCUCGGAAUAGCAUUUGAAACUGGCAGACUAGAGUACUGUAGAGGGGGGUAGAAUUUCAGGUGUAGCGGUGAAAUGCGUAGAGAUCUGAAGGAAUACCGGUGGCGAAGGCGGCCCCCUGGACAGAUACUGACACUCAGAUGCGAAAGCGUGGGGAGCAAACAGGAUUAGAUACCCUGGUAGUCCACGCCGUAAACGAUGUCUACUUGGAGGUUGUGGCCUUGAGCCGUGGCUUUCGGAGCUAACGCGUUAAGUAGACCGCCUGGGGAGUACGGUCGCAAGAUUAAAACUCAAAUGAAUUGACGGGGGCCCGCACAAGCGGUGGAGCAUGUGGUUUAAUUCGAUGCAACGCGAAGAACCUUACCUACUCUUGACAUCCAGAGAACUUUCCAGAGAUGGAUUGGUGCCUUCGGGAACUCUGAGACAGGUGCUGCAUGGCUGUCGUCAGCUCGUGUUGUGAAAUGUUGGGUUAAGUCCCGCAACGAGCGCAACCCUUAUCCUUGUUUGCCAGCGAGUAAUGUCGGGAACUCCAGGGAGACUGCCGGUGAUAAACCGGAGGAAGGUGGGGACGACGUCAAGUCAUCAUGGCCCUUACGAGUAGGGCUACACACGUGCUACAAUGGCGCAUACAGAGGGCAGCAAGCUAGCGAUAGUGAGCGAAUCCCAAAAAGUGCGUCGUAGUCCGGAUUGGAGUCUGCAACUCGACUCCAUGAAGUCGGAAUCGCUAGUAAUCGUGGAUCAGAAUGCCACGGUGAAUACGUUCCCGGGCCUUGUACACACCGCCCGUCACACCAUGGGAGUGGG
rnacentral:rRNA from 1 species